rnacentral:lncRNA from 1 species
GGUUGUGAGAGUGUGUAGAGGGAGAGAGAAGAUGUUCUGGUCAUCUUUGAUGUAGAGGGAAUAUUUGACUAAAUGCAGAUCUUCCCAUAACACCUCAUCAUGGUGUAAAAUCUCAAACUGUUAUUGGCUUUGAAAUAGAGGAUACUAGAGUGAAAAUAAUGUGGACGAAAAUACCAAAUCCCAUUAGUACAGUAAGAAAACUGAGGAAGCAGCAGUGAUGAACAUUAUUAAAAUAGCUGCUGAGAUCAACAGGUAAGAGAGAAUGUAGGCCAGCCAGCUAGUUGACCCAAUGCCAGCCAGCUAGUUGACCCAAAGUAGGCCAGCCAGCUAGUUGACCCAAUGUAGGCCAGCUAGUUGACCCAAUGUAGGCCAGCUAGUUGACCCAAUGUAGGCCAGCUAGUUGACCCAAUGUAGGCCAGCUAGUUGACCCAAUGUCAACAUUUCUAAAUGUAAGCCAGCUAGUUGACCCAAUUCACUGCUCAUCAUGAGAGGCAUUAAUUAGCAAGAGCUUGUUAGCAGAACCUCUCAGAUGAUGAUCAGCUCAGAAAUGAAUAUUUGGAAGUAGGCUAAUUGGAUAAAAUCCUUGAAGCACAAGUUUAGAAUAUGUAUGCAGGAAAGAGAUGAUCUCCAGCCAUAUAAGUAACCUAUGCCUAAAAAUACUGGUUUGUUUUUUACAGCAAUCUGAUUACUUUGAAAUAGUCAUUAUGGCAUAAGGAGUAUAGACCACUAUAGCAGAAAUCCCUGUGGCUCAGUUGGUAGAGCAUUGUGUUUGCAACGCCAGGGUUGUGGGUUCGAUUCCCACGGGGGCCAGUACAACAACAACAACACCAAUGCAUGAAAUGUAUGCAUUCACUACUGUAAGUCACUCUGGAUAAGAGCGUCUGCUAAAUGACUAAAAUGUAAAUGUAAAAAUGUAUAUUCAAAGGCAAUAUGAAGCUUAAGAAAAAGCACAAACGUUGUCUUAUUCUUUCCUAUUAUAAUUCGGAGAUAGGCCUAAACCUCAUUAAAACUCUUAAUUGAAAUGUUCAAAAAUAACACGAAUUUUGGUUAAGUGUAGCCCUUGAUUCGUGAGCAUGUUUUUGUUAUAUUUUGGACGGUGUAAUUUAGGAAUUUUCACAGUUGUAAUUAAUCAUAUUUUCCACUUUACCUCCCAUGACUAUUUUCAUGCCUUUCAUAUUGUAAAACAUUUUAUCUUUGACCAAAUUGUGAUGACUAUUUAAAAAUGUAUGUGGUGCAUAAAUUGAAAAAAGACUUGAGUAAACGGAGACAACAUGCAGCCAAAUAUAAGUGAUUGGACAAUAUAUAAUCUAAGAAAAACAUGAGUAUUUUUGCCAGGUAAAAAUGAAUGCUGAGUGGACCUAUAAAGGCCCUUUCUCAAAUAGGCCCGCUGUUGUAACGGUGGGUGGUAUAGGCAUUCCCUAAACUACUUCCCGAAAUUACACUUUAUGAUGUCAUGUAUUAUG